rnacentral:rRNA from 1 species
CGGGUUGUCAUGCCAAUGGCACUGCCCGGUAGCUAAAUGCGGAAGAGAUAAGUGCUGAAAGCAUCUAAGCACGAAACUUGCCCCGAGAUGAGUUCUCCCUGAGACCUUGAGUCUCCUGAAGGAACGUUAAAGACGAUGACGUUGAUAGGUCGGGUGUGUAAGCGCAGCGAUGCGUUGAGCUAACCGAUACUAAUGAACCGUGAGGCUUAACCUU